UCGAGCUGAAAUUGACGUGAGAACUCGCACUGGCGACCGCUGACGUGUUUAGUGCAAAAAGUGCUCAAUAACUUGACCGAUGACUUUGUUUUUUUUUUAACGGACUUCAAAAAAAGAGGAGCUUCUCAAUUCGACGCGAGAGCAAAAUGCCUCGUAAAUAUAAAAGAAAACAGGGUGUUGUACUUCGUACUGUAACCUAGACCGAAGAUAGUAAGCUAGCAGCGUUUAAAGAGAUGAAAAAAGGAGAGAAAGGCGUAAAUAAGAUUUCUAGAAUAUAAGGAAUACAAUCUAAAAUAUUAAGAUGAAGAUUUGCUAUUAAUGGCAAAAAUAAAUUGACAUUAAGAAAACAUCCUAUGAUAACGAAAAACGACUCGUGGCUCUUACAUUCAAAUUAGGAGAAGCUGGAUUUUCACCGGACUGAACACCAAUACGUCAGUUAGCAUACCAGUUCGCUAAAAAGCUAAAGCAUAACUUUGACGAAGAUGGCCAAGAAAUGAAAAUAAAAGUUAUAUAAAACACCAUAAAGACUGAUUAUAAUAAUAUAGUUCUUUCAUUUCAGAACAAACCAAUCACAAUGUUUAAACUAAGUCGUCGGUCCCCACUAGGGGCACCUAUCCUCGGAAGUUUUUUCAUGAUAAGUCAUCUAUCCGCCACAGUAGGCGUCUAUCCCAUUUUUCAGAGGUCCAAAGAAAUACAAUUUACACAAAAUCUACACAGUCUAUAUCAGAACGAUUCAGAUAAUAUAGAACAUUAAGAAAUAUAU